CUUCAUUGCACAGAACAUACCAUAUUUUAAACAGUCACUUGCAUGGGCAAUCACUGGACAUGUGGGGUUGGUGGGAUUGAGGUCACUCAGCAUGGCAUCCUAGCAUGGUGUUUUGUCUGUGGAAGGAACACAUCUAUAGAUGAGUAGUAUUAUAGUGUCCAGUCCUUACACUCUACCCAUUCUGCUAAUAAGAGUGCCAUUUGUAAUGUGGACACCUGUUCACUCAGCUAGGCUGAGGGCUUGUCUCCACUUACCAGUGUAUCAGUGAUCGAUCCACUGGGGCUUGA